ACACACGGCGGGUGCUAACGUCCGUCGUGAAAAGGGAAACAACCCAGACCGCCAGCUAAGGUCCCAAAGUUGUGGUUAAGUGGUAAACGAUGUGGGAAGGCUUAGACAGCUAGGAGGUUGGCUUAGAAGCAGCCAUCCUUUAAAGAAAGCGUAAUAGCUCACUAGUCGAGUCGGCCUGCGCGGAAGAUGUAACGGGGCUCAAACCACACACCGAAGCUGCGGGUGUCACGUAAGUGACGCGGUAGAGGAGCGUUCUGUAAGCCUGUGAAGGUGAGUUGAGAAGCUUGCUGGAGGUAUCAGAAGUGCGAAUGCUGACAUGAGUAACGACAAUGGGUGUGAAAAACACCCACGCCGAAAGACCAAGGGUUCCUGCGCAACGUUAAUCGACGCAGGGUUAGUCGGUUCCUAAGGCGAGGCUGAAAAGCGUAGUCGAUGGGAAACAGGUUAAUAUUCCUGUACUUCUGGUUACUGCGAUGGAGGGACGGAGAAGGCUAGGCCAGCUUGGCGUUGGUUGUCCAAGUUUAAGGUGGUAGGCUGAAAUCUUAGGUAAAUCCGGGGUUUCAAGGCCGAGAGCUGAUGACGAGUCGUCUUUUAGAUGACGAAGUGGUUGAUGCCAUGCUUCCAAGAAAAGCUUCUAAGCUUCAGGUAAUCAGGAACCGUACCCCAAACCGACACAGGUGGUCGGGUAGAGAAUACCAAGGCGCUUGAGAGAACUCGGGUGAAGGAACUAGGCAAAAUGGCACCGUAACUUCGGGAGAAGGUGCGCCGGCUAGGGUGAAGGAUUUACUCCGUAAGCUCUGGCUGGUCGAAGAUACCAGGCCGCUGCGACUGUUUAUUAAAAACACAGCACUCUGCAAACACGAAAGUGGACGUAUAGGGUGUGACGCCUGCCCGGUGCCGGAAGGUUAAUUGAUGGGGUUAGCGCAAGCGAAGCUCUUGAUCGAAGCCCCGGUAAACGGCGGCCGUAACUAUAACGGUCCUAAGGUAGCGAAAUUCCUUGUCGGGUAAGUUCCGACCUGCACGAAUGGCGUAACGAUGGCGGCGCUGUCUCCACCCGAGACUCAGUGAAAUUGAAAUCGCUGUGAAGAUGCAGUGUAUCCGCGGCUAGACGGAAAGACCCCGUGAACCUUUACUGUAGCUUUGCACUGGACUUUGAGCCUGCUUGUGUAGGAUAGGUGGGAGGCUUUGAAGCGUGGACGCCAGUUCGCGUGGAGCCAUCCUUGAAAUACCACCCUGGCAUGCUUGAGGUUCUAACUCUGGUCCGUGAUCCGGAUCGAGGACAGUGUAUGGUGGGCAGUUUGACUGGGGCGGUCUCCUCCUAAAGAGUAACGGAGGAGUACGAAGGUGCGCUCAGACCGGUCGGAAAUCGGUCGCAGAGUAUAAAGGCAAAAGCGCGCUUGACUGCGAGACAGACACGUCGAGCAGGUACGAAAGUAGGUCUUAGUGAUCCGGUGGUUCUGUAUGGAAGGGCCAUCGCUCAACGGAUAAAAGGUACUCCGGGGAUAACAGGCUGAUACCGCCCAAGAGUUCAUAUCGACGGCGGUGUUUGGCACCUCGAUGUCGGCUCAUCACAUCCUGGGGCUGAAGCCGGUCCCAAGGGUAUGGCUGUUCGCCAUUUAAAGUGGUACGCGAGCUGGGUUUAGAACGUCGUGAGACAGUUCGGUCCCUAUCUGCCGUGGACGUUUGAGAUUUGAGAGGGGCUGCUCCUAGUACGAGAGGACCGGAGUGGACGAACCUCUGGUGUUCCGGUUGUCACGCCAGUGGCAUUGCCGGGUAGCUAUGUUCGGAAAAGAUAACCGCUGAAAGCAUCUAAGCGGGAAACUUGCCUCAAGAUGAGAUCUCACUGGGAACUUGAUUCCCCUGAAGGGCCGUCGAAGACUACGACGUUGAUAGGCUGGGUGUGUAAGCGUUGUGAGGCGUUGAGCUAACCAGUACUAAUUGCCCGUGAGGCUUGACC
rnacentral:rRNA from 1 species